CUCAGAGCACCGAACACCUGACCAGCUAGCUGCCUCUUCCUCUACCAACUGAAAGCAAGGAGAUGAUCGACCACGGAUGAAACUGGUCUCUCUAUUGUAGCUCUGACUGUUCUGGAAUUCUACGUAGACAAGCUGGCCUUUAAAUCCCAAGAUGUUACCUGCUGUUACAUUCAAGCUUCCCUGAAAGCAACCACAGCUCUGAAAAAAGCCCGGAGAACUGCCCAUCGGAAAACAGCUACAGGAUCAAUUCCAGUCAUCCCGGAGACAAAAGCAUUCCUGCUACUUCUCAG